GUUAUGAAUAAAAUUGGUGCGAAUAUUCUUGAACAAGUCUCUCAGUGCUCAUGUGAAUGCAUUUUGAGGGGGUACAUAUGCCAGGAAGAGAAAUAUCUAGGUUUUUGUAGGUAAUGUAAACUCUUUUUCCAAGUGGUCUCCAUUAAGAGAGAAAUGUUGAGCAACCAAUGGCUUGCUGACCCACAAGGGUCAGAAACCUAAUUUGGAAAUAAUUUACUUAUGAAACUAAUUUGAGAGUAAUUUACUUAAGUAAUAAAAUUGUAUUCUAUGAGUAUAUUUUUUCCAUUAAGAUUUAUCUCUGUAAAAGAAGAGUUUUUAUAACUGAAUUUUCUCCUUUCUCAUUUGGGAUGCAAUUGAAUUUUCUACUAAACUCUGAAGUCCUCGGGAGGUUUCUAACAGAACAAAUGAUGCCUUAUGGCCAGUAUUCUUUUCCAGAUCUUCAGAGAAAUACAUGAAACCACAUUAGUAUAAAAUGUGACUUUGGUAAAGAGACUAUAUUUAAAUGUACGUUUCUGAAUCCUUGCUGUUCCUUUAAAUUGGCCAUGUGGGGAUUCUUAGGCAUUUUCAAAAAGGAAAGAGCAUCCAUUAAAUAAUGAUGGGCAUAGUCCCCACUGGGAAGGGCUGGCCACAAACCCUGCUCCCACAUCUCCAUCCUCCAAGCACCCUCCACACUGAUGCCCCAGCCAUCUUCUAUAGGGCAUAAUUAAUUCCGUUACUCACUGGGAAAAAGCUUUAAAUGGCUUCCCUUUCAUCCAGGUGCAAGUCAGUACAUUUGCCUGGCCCACAGAGCCUCUACAACUUGUCUCUGGCACACAUUGCCAAGAUUGUUUUUACUCAAAGUCGUCGUAUAAAAUGAUGUGUUUCUGGCACCCUUCUAAGCGAAUUACAAAUAUUAACCCACUUAAUCUUCAUGUCAACCCUCCAAGCUGGGCACCAUUAUUUACGUUCCAUUUUUACAGAUAAGGACACUGAAGAACAAGGAGGAAAAUGUCUUUCCUGAGUCCUACCGAUUCAACUGCACGGCCUUCUAUGAUCUAUCCUAAAAAGUCAGUUGGUGCCACUUCAACCAUAUGUUAUAGUCAGAACAACCUAAACCUUGCCCAGAUUCACAGGAGGAACAUAGGGAGAUCUCAUUCUCCGUGGAAAGAAUGCCACGGUCACAUGGAAAAGGAGCCUAUAAGAUGGGAAACAUUACCGUGAGCACCACUGGAAAAUACAGUCUACAACAAACAUUUUCCAGAAAGCCCAGGAAGCCGUAUCUCAGGUAAAAGGCAAUGAUCACUGAUGUAAGCCAGGGGGUGGAAUAUUCAGGGAUGACCAGUGCAUGGUUAGAGGACUUCCUGCUGAAAGUCCCUGUUUCCUAUGGAUCUUCAAACUGCUGACAUCAGGACUGGAUAAGAAAUAGGAUAAUUUGGUUGCAAAGUUCAAAGCUUUGGGCUUUGCGACUGUAUCAGGGACCAUAAUAUGUAAGUGGCCAUGAGGAGCACAGGGAAAUAGUUAGAUUUUACACAAAUAUGCACAUAUUUAUUAUUCAGUACUAAUGUGUAAGUAACCUACCCUGUAGAAAACGUGCUUGUCUUUGGCGACCUUUCACCCAACCUGUCUUUGGCUUUUGCACAACAGCUUCUCAAGAUGACAAGAGCCCUCAGAAUGUCCACACUUGAGAGCUUUGGUAUUUUAAUCUUUUCAAUGAGGAUAAUAUAACCUUGCAGUAUAUGUUGGUGAAUUGAUGGAUUGAUUGAUUUAACAAUUAUUGUUGAGUUUUCCUGUAGUUAGGCACUGGUCGAAGCACAGUGGCACAGUAGUUCAAAGAUAAAUGAUGUCACUACACUCACGGCAUUUACAUCCUACUUGCAGAAGCCACACACUAGAAAUAUAAAGACAAAAAUAAAUAAAAACAUAAUUUCAGAUAAUGAAGGUAAGUGCUAGGAAAAAAUUGAAUGAGGGACUGUGAUGGCGAACAGUAUAUGAGGCUGACCUGCAUGAGGUUUUCAGGGACAGACUUUCCAAGAACAUGCUAUUUUUAUGUUAAACUGCAAGAAUCCAGAAGAUGCUAAAUAGGUCAGAGCAAUGCCGACAAUGUUAUAAAUAUGUUCUUUGUUACUUGUUAUAUGGUAUUUUAAAGUUCAGUAGGCUUUUAGGUGAUAUCAAAAGUGAACAUAAUAAGAUUGAUCUCUUUUC
ensembl:lncRNA